CCUACGGGGGGCAGCAGUCGAGAAUCAUUCACAAUGGGGGAAACCCUGAUGGUGCGACGCCGCGUGGGGGAAUGAAGGUCUUCGGAUUGUAAACUCCUGUCAUGUGGGAGCAAAUUAAAAAGAUAGUACCACAAGAGGAAGAGACGGCUAACUCUGUGCCAGCAGCCGCGGUAAUACAGAGGUCUCAAGCGUUGUUCGGAAUCACUGGGCGUAAAGCGUGCGUAGGCUGUUUCGUAAGUCGUGUGUGAAAGGCCCGGGCUCAACCCGCGGACGGCAUAUGAUACUGCGAGACUAGAGUAAUGGAGGGGGAACCGGAAUUCUCGGUGUAGCAGUGAAAUGCGUAGAUAUCGGGAGGAACACUCGUGGCGAAGGCGGGUUCCUGGACAUUAACUGACGCUGAGGCACGAAGGCCAGGGGAGCGAAAGGGAUUAGAUACCCGGGUAGUC
rnacentral:rRNA from 1 species